AUUGAACGCUGGCGGCAUGCUUUACACAUGCAAGUCGAACGGUAACAGGGAGCUUGCUCCGCUGACGAGUGGCGAACGGGUGAGUAAUGCGUCGGAACGUGCCGAGUAGUGGGGGAUAACGCAUCGAAAGGUGUGCUAAUACCGCAUACGUACUGAGGUAGAAAGUGGGGGACCUUCGGGCCUCACGCUAUUCGAGCGGCCGACGUCUGAUUAGCUAGUUGGUGAGGUAAAGGCUCACCAAGGCGACGAUCAGUAGCGGGUCUGAGAGGAUGGUCCGCCACACUGGGACUGAGACACGGCCCAGACUCCUACGGGAGGCAGCAGUGGGGAAUUUUGGACAAUGGGCGCAAGCCUGAUCCAGCCAUGCCGCGUGUCUGAAGAAGGCCUUCGGGUUGUAAAGGACUUUUGUCCGGGAGCAAAUGCCUGGUGUUAAUAGCAUCGGGAGCUGAGAGUACCGGAAGAAUAAGCACCGGCUAACUACGUGCCAGCCGCCGCAGUAA
rnacentral:rRNA from 1 species